rnacentral:tRNA from 1 species
GCGGUCCCGGUUGGGUAGGCGGCACGGUCUUGAAAACCGUCGUGGCGCGAGUCACCGUGGGUUCAAAUCCCACACCCACCGCA